GGAGAAUCCAGGGCAGAGUUAGAGUCAGACCUAGGCUCUCGCAGAGAACUGCAUCGCGCUCCCAGCUCUGCUGCCUCGGUGCGGGGACGGGGCUCUGCAUGAGGACUGGGAAUGUAAGUCCCGGGCCUGGACAGGCGCCCCUGGGAGCUAGCCUGGAGGAGAUUCAGUAGAAGGCUGAGGAGUCGGCUUGGAGGGUCUCGGCAAGGCGGCGCGGAUGGAGAUGAAGCUGCGAAGAAUGCUGAGAAAGAGCGGCCGGGGGCCUUGGAGGGAAGCUAGGGAAACGCUGCGGGGGCAGCCGAGGCCGUCGGCGCCCCGGGAGAAGAGAAAAGCAGCCUGAUUCGGAGGAACGGGUUGCUUGGGGCGGCUCCCAGCUCGAGUUGUGGGCCCCGCCGCGGGUGCCCUUCGGAAACGCGCUGACACCAGGCGAAGCCGCCUCUGCCCGGACGCAGCCCGACACUUGGCCCGCGGGGUUCCCCGGGACGCCUGAGAGUAAUGGGCGCGAGGGGGAAAGCCGAACGGCCUCCCUGUGCCCGGCGCAGGCGGUGCCCCCUAGCUGGGUUCGCCGCGGCGGCGCUGCGAGCCCCCGACACUGAGGACUUUUGGUCCAACAGUCCGACGGGGCCCGGUGCGCCGUUCCCUCCGCCCUCUCCCCGCUCCCCGGCCCGCGCGUCUUGGAGGGUGGGUGAAUUGUCGGAAGCACUCUACGCCUGGCCAACCCAAACCAGGAACCUCCGCACCAAACAGCCCACGUUGCUGCUGCUCUGGGGUUUUAACGGCCAAGGGAGACUGGAGAAGGGGUGUUCUGCCUUCCCAUUCUCUUAGGCCCGUCCACUCCCCAUCCCCACAGUUUGGAAGUGGCCUUUUCUGAGGACUCCAGCGCAAAGCAUGUUUCUCCUUUUGAGCUGCGGAAGCCUUGCUUGUUCCCGCCAUUGGGAGGGCAUUCCAUCAUCUGCAGCUGCCUUCCUCGGUGGGCCUUGUCCCUUAGCGUCCACCUAGGGGACAUUCUAAGCUUCUUGAGACCUGCUUGUCCACCCCAACAUGUCUCAGCAUAUGGCUGUGCCCUAAGGGGUCUUUGAGGGCAUUUUAGGAGGUGAGCGGCGCCCCUACCUGGGCUCCGCGGGGCCGAUUCGGUUUGCCCUUUGCUGGCAUGUCAGUGAAUUAACUGCUGUCCUUGGGAUGACCUGCCCUAUGAUUUGGCCUCUGGAGCAUCCCGGGUGUGUAUUUCAGAACUCCUCCCAUCUUAUCCACCUGCUGAAGGCCUGGCCCCCUGAUAUGGUUUGGCUCUGUUUCCCCACCCAAAUCUCACCUUGAAUUUUAAUAAUCCCCACGUGUCAUGGGCGGGACCAGGUGGAGGUAAUUGAAUCAUGGAGGUGGUUUCCUGAACGCUGCUCUCGUGACAGUGAGUUCACAAGAUUUUUUUUUUUAACGGAGUAUCACUCUGUCACUCAGGCUGGAGUGCAGUGGCGCGAUCUUGGUUCACUGCAACCUCUGCCUCCCGGGUUCAAGAGAUUCUCCUGCCUCAGCCUCCCGAGUAGCUGGGAUUACAGGUGCGCGCCAUCACGCCCGGCUAAUGUGUAUUUUUAGUAGAGAAAGGGUUUCACCAUGUUGGUUAGGCUGGUCUGGAACUCCUGACCUUGUGAUCUGCCUGCCUCGGCCUCCCAAAGUGCUGGGAUUACACGCGUGAGCCACUGUGCCCAGCCGAUCUGAUGCUUUUAUAAAGGGCUUUCCCCGUCCCCCUUCCUCUCUCUCACCACCCUGUGAGAAAGGUGCCUUUCUUCCCCCUUCACGUGAACUGCCUCCAUGAUUGUAAGCUUCCUGAGGCCUCCCCAGCUAUAAGGAACUGUGAGCCAAUUAAACUGCUUUAUAAAUUAA
rnacentral:lncRNA from 1 species